rnacentral:rRNA from 1 species
CCUACGGGAGGCAGCAGUAGGGAAUCUUCGUCAAUGGGCGCAAGCCUGAACGAGCAAUGCCGCGUGAACGAGGAAGGUCUUCGGAUCGUAAAGUUCUGUUGAAGGGGAAAAAGAGCGGAGAGAGGAAAUGCUUUCUGAUUGAUAUUACCCUUCGAGGAAGUCACGGCUAACUACGUGCCAGCAGCCGCGGUAAUACGUAGGUGGCGAGCGUUAUCCGGAAUGAUGGGGCGUAAAGGGUGCGUAGGCGGCCUGCUAAGUCUGGAGUGAAAGGUACCGGCUCAACCGGUACAGGCUCUGGAAACUGGCGGGCUAGAGAGCAGGAGAGGGCGGUGGAACUCCAUGUGUAGCGGUAAAAUGCGUAGAUAUAUGGAAGAACACCAGUGGCGAAGGCGGCCGCCUGGCCUGUUACUGACGCUGAGGCACGAAAGCGUGGGGAGCAAAUAGGAUUAGAUACCCCGGUAGUC